rnacentral:rRNA from 1 species
CGCAAGCCUGACGGAGCAAGACCGCGUGGGGGAUGACGGCCUAAUGGUUGUAAACCCCUUUUCUCUGGGAAGAAGACUGACGGUACCAGAGGAAUCAGCCUCGGCUAACUCCGUGCCAGCAGCCGCGGUAAUACGGAGGAGGCAAGCGUUAUCCGGAAUUAUUGGGCGUAAAGCGUCCGUAGGUGGUUAUUCAAGUCUGCUGUCAAAGCGUGGGGCUUAACUCCAUAGAGGCAGUGGAAACUGAGUGACUAGAGUGCGGUAGGGGUCGAGGGAAUUCCCAGUGUAGCGGUGAAAUGCGUAGAUAUUGGGAAGAACACCAGUGGCGAAAGCGCUCGACUGGGCCUGCACUGACACUGAGGGACGAAAGCUAGGGGAGCG